CAUCUGGUUAGUUUGUCAAGAAACGCUGAAUUCGCGCUGCCCUGCAGUUCUCAUUUACUCCCUUUAUUCUCUUAACCCUAAUUUCGACCACAAUCCACCGCUGGAACCCUAAUUCCGAUUCUCCGGCUAAAUCAUCGGCUUCUUCUUCACCCUCCUGGAUCGAUCGUGGGAGCGAAGUGGCUUUUUUGGGCGAUCUGGGUUCGAGAUAUCUUUUAGGGUUCCGCCGUGAGGAAAUGAGGGAUGUUCUCAUGGUUGGGGAGAAUUGCAUCGGCGUGCUUGGUCCCGGUCCGGAGGUACGCGCGUAUGAGCAAGGAUGAGGGCGCGGACGACGCUCUACUGUGGUCGCGGGACAUUGGGCAGCAUUCGGUGGGGGAGUUCUCAAUCGCGGUCGUGCAGGCAAACGAAUGCAUCGAGGACCAUAGCCAGGUCGAGACGGGACGGAACGCCACCUUUGUUGGUGUUUACGAUGGCCACGGCGGUCCCGACGCUGCUCGAUUUAUCUCGGAUCACCUCUUCCUCCAUCUCAUUCGGCUUGCUCGAGAGAAUGGUACAAUUUCGGAGGAUAUAAUUAGAAAUGCUUUUUCUUCAACUGAGGAUGGUUUUCUGGCACAUGUCCAAAGAACAAGGGAACUGAAGCCAUUAAUUGCUGCAAUUGGAUCGUGCUGUUUGGUGGGAGUAAUUUGGAAAGGGACAUUGUAUGUUGCUAAUUUGGGAGAUUCCAGAGCUGUAAUUGGUUGUUUAAGUAGAUCCAAUAAUAUAAUUGCUGAUCAAUUGACCAGUGAUCAUAAUGCUAGUAUGGAGGAAGUUAGACAAGAGCUUAGAUCCCUUCAUCCAGAUGAUUCUCAGAUUGUGGUAAUGAAACAUGGGGUUUGGAGAAUAAAAGGCAUCAUACAGGUUUCAAGAUCUAUAGGUGAUGCAUAUUUAAAGAGACCCGAAUUCACAGUUGAUUCAUCUGUUCCACGUUUCCGGCUAUCAGAACCACUACGCAGAGCUGUUCUUACUGCUGAGCCAUCCAUAUACACAAGAGUCCUUAACCCACAGGAUAAGUUUGUAAUAUUUGCCUCAGAUGGACUUUGGGAGCAGUUAACUAAUCAAGAGGCUGUUGAGAUUGUCCACAAAUUUCCCAGAUCGGGCAUUGCAAUGAGGCUAGUCAGGUCAGCAUUGGAUGUGGCAGCUAAGAAGCGCGAAAUGCGAUACUCUGAUCUAAAGAAACUUGACAAGGGAAUUCGCCGUUUUUUUCACGACGACAUAACCGUCAUCGUCGUCUUCAUCGACCACGAAUUAUUAUCCGCACCAAAUACAUCAGUACAAGAACUCUCUGUUAGAGGUUUCAUUGAUGCACCACCAGGAGUUUCAGAAUUCUCAUCCUUGGAUGGGCUAAGCGGCGUUGUUGGAAGCUCAGCUGGUAGAUCUUAAAUGACUACUGGUUUUUUGAAGUUUUUCUCUUCCUCUCUCCCUCACCUCUCAGUUUUAGGGGUGCAAUGCAUCUAUUGCUGUGAACGGAGAUCGAGUCGAGCUCGAGUUUGUGAUUUGACCGAUGAGUUGAGUUUGAGUUGACCAUUGCUUGAGCUCAAUUUGACUCAUUUGCACCCUUAUAUAGUUCAAUUUUAUAGGAGAAUUUUGCAAGUCUACAGCUUAGUAGAAUUUUUACAAUGCUUCCUUUUCUGGUAUUAUUUAUUACAUAAAAAAAAAGACCCUGCAAAUAAAUAUUUGUUCUUCACAUAAGCAGACAACUUUUUUUUUUUUUUCUGUAUAUUAAACACGCGUAGGACUCAUAAGACAUUGAUGUGACGAAUGGAUGAGAAUUUAAGCCUUGUCUUUUUUUAUUUUUUAUUUUUUAUUUCUUGUGGCUGCUAAAAUGCUAGUGAAUUAAAAAUAUUAAUGAAAAUUCUUGAAAUUAUUAUCAGAUUUUAAAGAUCUGAAAUCCAUGCACCCAUCAUUAAAAAGUAAAUUAUAUAUAUAUAUAUAUAUAUCCUUGUUGGUCUGAGGGUAUAUAAGGUUAUUGUGAUUUUGGUUGCUCAACUGCCUGCAAUAAAAGAAAUCACGGCAGGCUUGUGAUCAGUUUCUGAAUUUAGUUAGGGAAAAAUAUGUCCCAUAAUAUGUCUAUGAAAGCAAAGGUUUUUUU